GAUUAGAUACCCCUGUAGUCCUGGCAGUAAACGGUGCACGCUUGGUGUGCGGGGAAUCGACCCCCUGCGUGCCGGAGCUAACGCGUUAAGCGUGCCGCCUGGGGAGUACGGUCGCAAGAUUAAAACUCAAAGAAAUUGACGGGGACCCGCACAAGCGGUGGAGUAUGUGGCUUAAUUCGAUGCAACGCGAAGAACCUUACCUGGGCUUGACAUGUAAUGAACAACAUGUGAAAGCAUGCGACUCUUCGGAGGCGUUACACAGGUGCUGCAUGGCCGUCGUCAGCUCGUGUCGUGAGAUGUUGGGUUAAGUCCAGCAACGAGCGCAACCCCUGUUGCCAGUUACCAGCACGUGAAGGUGGGGACUCUGGCGAGACUGCCCAGAUCAACUGGGAGGAAGGUGGGGACGACGUCAGGUCAGUAUGGCCCUUAUGCCCAGGGCUGCACACGUACUACAAUGCCCAGUACAGAGGGGGCCGAAGCCGCGAGGCGGAGGAAAUCCUGAAAACUGGGCCCAGUUCGGACUGUAGGCUGCAACCCGCCUACACGAAGCCGGAAUCGCUAGUAAUGGCGCAUCAGCUACGGCGCCGUGAAUACGUUCCCGGGUCUUGUACACACCGCCCGUCACAUCAUGGAAGCCGGUCGCACCCGAAGUAUCUGAAGCCAACCGCAAGGAGGCAGGGUCCUAAGGUGAGACUGGUAACUGGGAUGAAGUCGUAACAAGGUAGCCGUAGGGGAACCUGCGGCUG
rnacentral:rRNA from 1 species